rnacentral:lncRNA from 1 species
AUUGAUGACGUCCGAUGAACCAAAAAGUGUAAUGGAUGUAGAAAAAUUGAUCCGUCUGGUCGAAGAACGGAGUUUCAUUUAUGACAAGUCAAAAACAGAUUUCAAAAAUGGUAUGAAAAAGUAUGUUGCAUGGCAAGAAAUAGCAGUUGAACUCGGGAUCUCAAUCAAAGAAGCUCAAAAUAAAUGGAAACUACUGCGAGAGAAAUAUGGCAAGGUUCGAAGACUCAUUCAAAGAAGUGGAGUCUCCAAUGAUUCAACCCAACAUGAGUGGGGCUUGUAUAAAUUGCUCAAAUUUUUGGAUCCUCACAUUGUUGGUCGAAGGAGCAGUUCUCACUUCGAGCCUCCAUCACAAUAUCCUCUCAUAUGCCAAUCACAAAUUUCUGAUUCCCAAGGCUCUGUUGAGUACAUUGGCGAAGAAUUAGAAGACGACUGUGAGGACAGCUCGAAAGAUUCCAAGGAGCAUGUACCCGUAUUACCUACCCCGUAUCUACCUGCGUAUUUAUCCUCAUCUACCUGUGCUGUGGAGGCUCAAAAAAGACCUUUAUCUCCCUUGGGUUCACACCCAUCCAAUCACAGUUCCAAUGAUAAGCGACGGAAAAUAAGUUCUGAAGAUACCUUUCUAAGUGACUUGAGUCAUUUAUCAGAAGCAGUAGCUUUUAAAGUCUCUAACAGACUGCAGACAAUGGAAGAAAGUGAAGAUAGCUACUUUGGGAAGGAUGUUGUUUUAGAGCUAAGUAAAAUGAGCAAUCUUAGAAAGAAAAGGCAAUUAAAAGCUAAGAUAUAUGCCUUAAUCAGCGAGUAUGAUUCUGAUGAAUGAAUAUCGUUCUUAAAAGUAAGUGCCAUUUAAAAUGGCGUUUUCAUUCUUUACUGAAAAGCAAAUAGAAGUUUGCAGCUGCCUAAGAAACAGUGCCCCAAUGGUGAAAGUCUUGAAACAGUAUCAGGGAUCUAUUCAUAACUGAUCGUGAGUUCACUAUUCCUGAUUGUCUGAUUACAGUUGCUUGUAUAAUUUCCAGUUUUUGUAGUUCCAAAUUUUCUUUUUCUUUCUUUUUUUUAAUUGAAUGAAAAAAGUGCCUUUCUAUGUAGUUCUUCAAAAGAGACAUCAAUCCGGAACAAUAGCAACUCAUAUUCUCAUGACUUGUUGUAAGAAUCCUUUUCCUGUGAAUGUUCACAUACUAUGUAUAUUUUGUGCGGAAAAAAAAAAAUUCUUAAAAAUUAAAUCAGGAGAGGAGAGCCUAUCAUAAUUUAAAUGUUAAAUGAAAUGACGUUCGAACUUAAAGUCAAUUCUUAAUUUUUGCAUAAAAACAUAACUUUUUAUUUGGACAAGGGAAUCCAAAUUGUUCUAAAGAAUGUAAGAGCCUCUUCACUAAUUUUAGUGGCAUCCUUAAAAAUAAUUAAGCACUACAUAAUGCGGUGGCUUUUUGAAGUAGGUAUCUGCCUAUGCUUACAUGUUUUAUCUUCUUCAUAUUUGUUAUUACUUCGUUGCAGAAAAUGCUCUGUUUUCCUUGUUUUUAAGCCCUCAUGAAUAGAUGGACUGAAAUAAAAUGUUUAACACUUCAUACCUGAGGAAAACACACAACAGGUGGGGAUUAGUUAAAAUUUACGAUUAAUAUGAAACUUUCCUGUUUCAUCUAAUUUGAAUGAUUUUUUAUAUUUUUUUUUUUCAUAUUCCUACUCUUUUUUUUUUCUUUUUUUCUUUUUUUUUUGCAGUGAAUACUUUUAAGUUACCUUUAUUGCCUGUAACCAUGGAGUACUUAUCUACAUAUGUAUAAAUAAUUAAGAUUGUAAAAUCUAUGAUUCAAGUCUGUAUUUUCAACAACAGAUUUUAAGUGUCAGUUCUGGUCUUCUGUAUACUCUGUGAUUUUUUGACUCAGUUAACCAAAAAAGAUGCCUAUAUUUUACCAUAUAAUGGUAGGUGUUACAAUAACCAGUGAUUUCACCCAACAGUGUGAUGAAUAGUUUGAUCGUGAAUUCAUAAUAACAUCCAUGAAACUAAAGUUACCAUUACUUAUCAAUCCAGUUUUUGUAUCGUUAAUUAUUCAGAGGUACACCCUUCUUAUUUCUCUACGCAUGUAUUGCGUACAAUUUUCUAAACAGAUACACCGAGAAGAGAAGAAAAGAAAGAAAACUGUUUUUUCUCUCUGAUAUGUUAUGUGUUCAUGUUUAAUAAAUCUGCUCGUUUUCUUUCUCAUUUGUUGCAUUUAUUUUUUCCUUCUUUUUUACACCUUUUUUUUCAUAAUUUUUAUGACACAACGUGAAACAAAUCAAAUAUUGGUGAAUCGAUUAGAUAAUUGAAUUUAACAAAAAUGCACUAAGUCGAUUUUUAAAAAAGAAAUGAGUUGGAAUUAGUUCUGCUUUCAACCAGUCAUUAAUUCCUGUUCACAUU